rnacentral:rRNA from 1 species
UACGUAGGGGGCAAGCGUUGUCCGGAAUCAUUGGGCGUAAAGCGCGUGUAGGCGGCUCGAUAAGUCUGCUGUGAAAGUCCAGGGCUCAACCCUGGGAUGCCGGUGGAUACUGUCGAGCUCGAGUCCGGAAGAGGAGUGUGGAAUUCCUGGUGUAGCGGUGAAAUGCGCAGAUAUCAGGAGGAACACCAAUGGCGAAGGCAGCACUCUGGGACGUGACUGACGCUGAGACGCGAAAAGCGUGGGGAGCAAACAGG